rnacentral:rRNA from 1 species
AGAGUUUGAUCCUGGCUCAGGACGAACGCUGGCGGCAGGCCUAACACAUGCAAGUCGAACGCAUUCUUCGGAAUGAGUGGCGCACGGGUGAGUAACACGUGGGAACCUACCCUGAGGUACGGAAUAACCGUUGGAAACGACGGCUAAUACCGUAUAUCCCCUUUGGGGGAAAGAUUUAUCGCCUUGGGAUGGGCCCGCGGUCGAUUAGCUAGUUGGUGUGGUAAUGGCGCACCAAGGCGACGAUCGAUAGCUGGUCUGAGAGGAUGAUCAGCCACACUGGGACUGAGACACGGCCCAGACUCCUACGGGAGGCAGCAGUGGGGAAUAUUGGACAAUGGGCGCAAGCCUGAUCCAGCCAUGCCGCGUGAGUGAUGAAGGCCUUCGGGUUGUAAAGCUCUUUCAGGUGGGACGAUGAUGACGGUACCACCAGAAGAAGCCCCGGCUAACUUCGUGCCAGCAGCCGCGGUAAUACGAAGGGGGCUAGCGUUGUUCGGAUUUACUGGGCGUAAAGCGCGCGUAGGCGGUUAUGCCAGUCAGAGGUGAAAGCCCAGGGCUCAACCCUGGAACGGCCUUUGAUACUGCAUGACUUGAGUUCGGGAGAGGGGCAUGGAAUUCCCAGUGUAGAGGUGAAAUUCGUAGAUAUUGGGAAGAACAC